ACACAUUAAACUAAAACCUUCGAAUUUUUUUUCAUAAAACCUCACUUUUUACCUUUGGCUCUGUGAGUGAAUUUUUGUUAUCACGUAAAAUAUUGUGUUUUUCCCGUUGCGAGUAUGUAAAUAAUUUAUAAAACAUCCGUUAUAUAUAAUUAAAGCUUCAAGUGUUUUUUUAAUCGAAAAACAGAACAUGAAAUAGAGAAAUAUAUGAUCUUUAUGAUGAUAAAAAGGUAAAUAGGUAGCAUCUAUACACUUAAAUAAAAUUGAAAAUAAACAAUUGUACAAAUAUCGCGGUCUCUCACGUCGGAAAUAAUAAUAUCAUCAUAACGGAAUUGGACUCGCCGAUUCGAACUUAAUCGCACAAUAAUAAUACUCGUCAAACGUCUCUCUAUAAUCUCUAAGGCAACGCGGAACCGUUGAACACGUUACUCGAGCUUAACCGUUAUUAAACAUACACUUAAAUUACACCUACAGAUAAUUUCACGUGGCGCGGGAUCCCCCACGUUAAAUCUCGGCCCUGCGAAUCGGAGAUCACGCUGGUGACGUCGGCGAGCGCGUGCGCCGACAGCGCCAAUUCCCCUUCUGCGUUGCGAGAAAAUAAUGUGCGUCUGACCUAGUGCCUGGUGCACUGAUGCUAGGCUACAUUAAACAGCGGAUUCAGACGGUCUAGAAACAGUGCAUUUAACCGAUCUGUGUGAUCUCAUGGCUCCCGCGAACGCAAAGAAUCGUCGUGUUUCGUCAUCCUCGAUGAAUCUUCGUGAUCACGCGGCUGAUAAUGUGUGAUGGAAACUCUCUCUCGAAACUCGUAAGUACUAAAUAUUAACGUUUCUGAUGUAAUCAAAUAUCCAAUUUGCAAGAUAUGGGUGUGUAGUGAGAUAUACACAUAUAUAUGUAAAUGAUGUAUAUAGAUCGAUAAAAGAGAGGAGUAACGUUCCUCGAAACCCGUUUAUCUAAAAUGUCAAAUCAAACGUAUGCAAUAAUAAAGUGAUAAAAUAGAUAAUAAAAAGAAAAA